rnacentral:ncRNA from 1 species
GAAGGGAAUGGGGUGGGGAAGGACGUGGCUGAGAUUAUACGGCCCUGAAACUUGAUCUGGAUAAUACCAGCGAAAGGAUCAUGCUAUUCCCCCCCU